CGAAGCUAGGAUCAGAAGACAGAGGGGGCAGGCUUAGCCUCCAAGCGACCAAACCAGUAAGAACACAAUAUAAAAAUGGCAAGAGAACCAACCAUAAUAUAUAUAUUGAUAUAUAAUCUUCAUUAAAAAACAGUAUAAUGAAACAACAUCUAUUUUGUCAAACAAAAUAAAAUUAAAUCUCAGUUAUUUUGAAUUUAGCUCUACGUGUAUUAGCUAGAUCAUAGGUGAAAGUCGCCUAGAGGGGGGGUGAAUAGGGCGAAACUGAAAUUUACAAAUAUAAACACAACUACAAGCCGGGUUAGCGUUAUAAGUAUAAACGAGUCCGCGAGAGAGGGAGCAAAACAAAUCGCAAGCAAAUGAAGAGUGUGACACGCGGAUUUGUUUUACCGAGGUUCGGUUUUUGCAAACCUACUCCCCGUUUGAGGAGGCCACAAAGGCCGGGUCUCUUUCAACCCUUCCCUCUCUCAAUCGGUCCCUCGGACCGAGUGAGCUUCUCUUCUCAAAUCACUUUGGAAUCAAACUUCCCGCAAGGGCCACCACACAAUUGGUGCCUCUUGCCUCAAUUACAAGUGAGUGUUUGAUCACAAGAAAGAAUCAAGAAAGAAGGAAGCAAUCCAAGCGCAAGAGCUCGAAAGAACACAAGCAAAUCUCUCUCUCUAGUCACUAGGGCGUUGUGUGGAAUAUGGAGAGGAUUUGAUCUCUUUGGUGUAUCUAGAAUUGAAUGCUAGAGCUCUUGUAGUAGUUGGGAAGUAGAGAACUUGGAUGCAAUGAAUGGUGGGGUGGUUGGGGUAUUUAUAGCCCCAACCACCAAAUGUGGCCGUUGGAAGGCUGUCUGUUUGAUGGCGCACCGGACAGUCCGGUGCACACCGGACAGUCCGGUGCCUCCUGCCACGUCAUCACUGCCGUUGGAUUCUGACCGUUGGGGCUUCUGACUUGUGGGCCCGCCUGGGUGUCCGGUGCACACCGGACAUGUACUGUUUGAUGUCCGGUGUGCCAGCAUGGGCGAUUCUGACUCCUGCGCGCGCUGUGCGCGCAUUAAAUGCCGUUGCAGGUAGCCGUUGGCACGAAGUAGUCGUUGCUCCGAGGUUGCACCGGACAGUCCGGUGCACACCGGACAGUCCGGUGAAUUAUAGCGAAGCAGCGAAGGAGAAAACCCGAGGCUGGCGAGUUCCGGAGGCCGACCUUCCUUGGAGCACCGGACAUGUCCGGUGUACACCGGACAGUCUGGUGAAUUAUAGCCGAGUCGCCUCUGGAAAUUCCUGAAGGUGGCGAGUUGGAGUCUGAGUCCCCCUGGUGCACCGGACAUGUCCGGUGGCACACCGGACAGUCCGGUGCGCCAGACCAGGGGUGCCUUCGGUUGUCCCUUUGCUCCUUUGUUGAAUCCAAAACUUGGUCUUUUUAUUGGCUGAGUGUGAACCUUUUACACCUGUAUAAUCUAUACACUUGGGCAAACUAGUUAGUCCAAAGAUUUGUGUUGGGCAAUUCAACCACCAAAAUAAUUUAGGAACUAGGUGUAAGCCUAAUUCCCUUUCAAUCUCCCCCUUUUUGGUGAUUGAUGCCAACACAAACCAAAGCAAAUAUAGAAGUGCAUAAUUGAACUAGUUUGCAUAAUGUAAGUGUAAAGGUUGCUUGGAAUUGAGCCAAUAUAACUACUUACAAGGUAUGCAUGGACUGUUUCUUUCUUAUAUAACAUUUUGGACCACGUUUGCACCACAUGUUUUGUUUUUUGCAAAUUCUUUUUGUAAAUCCAUUUCAAGAAUCUUUUGCAAAUAGUCAAAGGUAAAUGAAUAAGAGUUUGCAAGGCAUUUUCAAGAUUUGAAAUUUUCUCCCCCCAUUUCAAAUGCGUUUCCUUUGACUUAACAAAACUCCCCCUAAAGGAGAUCCACCUCUUAGUGUUCAAGAGGGUUUUGAUAUUUAUUUUUGAAAAACUAAUUUUCUCCUCCUUUUGAACACAAUAGGAUACCAAUUGAUAAAUACUUUUGGAAAGCACUAAGUUUUUGAAAUUGGUGGUGGUGCGGUCCUUUUGCUUUGGGCUCAUACUUUCUCCCCCUUUGGCAUGAAUCGCCAAAAACGGAAUCAUUGGAGCCCAUUGAAUUCCUUUCUCCUCCUUUGGACAUAAAUGAAUGAGUGAAGAUUAUACCAAAGACGAAGCCCUCUUGCUUUGGGCUUACUUUCUCCCCCAAAGACGAAGUCCUUUUGCUUUGAACUCUCCCCCCAAAGAUGGAGAGAAGCUUGGAGCGAUGGCGAAGGAUGAGUUACGGAGUGGAAGCCUUUGUCUUCGCCGAAGACUCCAAUUCCCUUUUAAUAUACCUAUGACUUGGUUUAAAAUAGACUUGAAAACACAUUAGUCAUAGCAUAUGAAAGAGAUAUGAUCAAAGGUAUAUAAAUGAGCUACGUGUGCAAUCUAGCAAAAGAAAUUGCGCGAAUCAAGAAUAUUGAGCUCAUGCCUAAGUUUGGUAAAAGUUUGUUCAUCAAGAGGCUUGGUAAAGAUAUCGGCUAAUUGAUCUUUAGUGUUAAUAUAAGAAAUCUCGAUAUCUCCCUUUUGUUGGUGAUCCCUAAGAAAAUGAUACCGAAUGGCUAUGUGCUUAGUGCGGCUAUGCUCGACGGGAUUGUCAGCCAUUUUGAUUGCACUCUCAUUAUCACAUAGCAAAGGGACUUUGGUUAAUUUGUAACCAUAGUCCCGCAGGGUUUGCCUCAUCCAAAGCAAUUGCGCGCAACAAUGACCUGCGGCAAUGUACUCGGCUUCGGCGGUGGAAAGAGCAACCGAAUUUUGCUUCUUUGAAGCCCAAGACACCAAGGAUCUUCCCAAGAACUGGCAAGUCCCCGAUGUGCUCUUCCUAUUAAUCUUACACCCCGCCCAAUCGGCAUCGGAAUAACCAAUUAAAUCAAAUGUGGAUCCCCGAGGGUACCAAAGCCCAAACUUAGGAGUAUAAGCCAAAUAUCUCAAGAUUCGUUUUACGGCCGUAAGGUGGGAUUCCUUAGGGUCGGAUUGGAAUCUUGCACACAUGCAAACGGAAAGCAUAAUAUCCGGUCGAGAUGCACAUAAAUAAAGCAACGAACCAAUCAUCGACCGAUAUACCUUUUGAUCCACGGACUUACCUCCCGUGUCGAGGUCGAGAUGCCCAUUGGUUCCCAUGGGUGUUUUGAUGGGCUUGGCAUCCUUCAUUCCAAACUUGCUUAGAAUAUCUUGAGUAUACUUCGUUUGGCUAAGGAAGGUGCCCUCUUGGAGUUGCUUCACUUGAAAUCCUAAGAAAUACUUCAACUCCCCCAUCAUAGACAUCUCAAAUUUCUUUGUCAUGAUCCUACUAAAUUCUUCACAUGUAGAUUCGUUAGUAGACCCAAAUAUAAUAUCAUCAACAUAAAUUUGGCAUACGAACAAAUCAUUUUCAAGAGUUUUAGUAAAGAGAGUAGGAUCGGCCUUGCCGACUUUGAAGCCAUUUGCAAUAAGGAAAUCUCUAAGGCAUUCAUACCAUGCUCUUGGGGCUUGCUUGAGCCCAUAAAGCGCCUUAGAGAGCCUAUAGACAUGAUUAGGGUACUCACUGUCUUCAAAGCCGGGAGGUUGCUCAACAUAGACCUCCUCCUUGAUCGGUCCAUUGAGGAAGGCACUCUUCACGUCCAUUUGAUAAAGCUUAAAGCCAUGGUAAGUAGCAUAGGCUAAUAAUAUGCGAAUUGACUCAAGCCUAGCUACGGGUGCAUAGGUUUCACCGAAAUCCAAACCUUCGACUUGGGAGUAUCCUUUGGCCACAAGUCGAGCUUUGUUCCUUGUCACCACACCAUGCUCAUCUUGCUUGUUGCGGAAGACCCAUUUGGUUCCCCCUUAUGAAUGUCGCCGAGGAUGGUGUCGACGGGGUGAUCUCGUUGGAUUGCUUGGUGGACUCUUGGGUGUGGCGGCCUUGGUUCUUCCUCAUCCUCCUUUUCUUGAUCAUUUGCAUCUUCCCCUUGAUCAUUGCCGUCAUCUUGAGGUGGCUCAUUUGCUUGAUCUUCUACUUCAUCAACUUGAGCUUCAUCCUCAUUUUGGGUUGGUGGAGAUGCUUGCGUGGAGUAGGACGGUUGAUCUUGUGCAUUUGGAGGCUCUUUGGAUUCCUUAGGACACACAUCCCCAAUGGACAUGUUCCUUAGCGCUAUGCAUGGAGCCUCUUCAUUACCUAUCUCAUCAAGAUCAACUUGCUCUACUUGAGAGCCGUUAGUCUCAUCAAACACAACGUCACAUGAGACUUCAACUAGUCCAGUGGACUUGUUAAAGACCCUAUAUGCCCUUGUGUUUGAGUCAUAACCAAGUAAAAAGCCUUCUACAGUUUUAGGAGCAAAUUUAGAUUUUCUACCUCUUUUAACAAGAAUAAAGCAUUUGCUACCAAAAACUCUAAAGUAUGAAAUGUUGGGCUUUUUACCGGUUAGGAGUUCAUAUGAUGUCUUCUUGAGGAUUCGGUGAAGAUAUAACCGGUUGAUGGCGUAGCAGGCAGUGUUGACCGCUUCGGCCCAGAACCGGUCCGGUGUCUUGUACUCAUCAAGCAUGGUUCUUGCCAUGUCCAAUAGAGUUCGAUUCUUCCUCUCCACUACACCAUUUUGUUGAGGGGUGUAGGGAGAAGAGAACUCAUGCUUGAUGCCCUCCUCCUCAAGAAAGCCUUCAAUUUGUGAGUUCUUGAACUCCGUCCCGUUGUCGCUUCUUAUUUUCUUGAUCCUUAAGCCGAACUCAUUUUGAGCCCGUCUCAAGAAUCCCUUUAAGGUCUCUUGGGUUUGAGAUUUUUCCUGUAAAAAGAAUACCCAAGUGAAGCGAGAAUAAUCAUCCACUAUUACAAGACAAUACUUACUCCCGCCGAUGCUUAUGUAAGCAAUCGGGCCGAAUAGAUCCAUGUGGAGUAGCUCAAGCGGCCUGUCGGUCGUCAUGAUGUUCUUGUGUGGAUGAUGGACUCCAACUUGCUUCCCCGCCUGACAUGCGCUACAAAUCCUGUCUUUCUCAAAAUGAACAUUUGUUAAUCCUAAAAUGUGUUCUCCCUUUAGAAGCUUAUGAAGAUUCUUCAUCCCAACAUGGGCUAGUCGGCGGUGCCAGAGCCAACCCAUGUUAGUCUUAGCAAUUAAGCAUGUGUCGAGUUCAGCUCUAUCAAAAUCUACUAAGUAUAGCUGACCCUCUAACACACCCUUAAAUGCUAUUGAAUCAUCACUUCUUCUAAAGACAGUGACACCUACAUCAGUAAAAAGACAGUUGUAGCCCAUUUGACAUAAUUGGGAAACAGAAAGCAAGUUGUAAUCUAAAGAAUCAACAAUAAAAACAUUGGAAAUAGAAUGGUCAGGAGAUAUAGCAAUUUUACCAAGUCCUUUGACCAAACCUUGAUUUCCAUCCCCGAAUGUGAUAGCUCGUUGGGGAUCUUGGUUUUUCUCAUAUGAGGAGAACAUCUUUUUCUCCCCUGUCAUGUGGUUUGUGCACCCGCUAUCGAGUAUCCAACUUGAGCCUCCGGAUGCAUAAACCUACAAAACAAAUUUAGUUCUUGACUUUAGGUACCCAAACUGUUUUGGGUCCUUUGGCAUUAGAAACAAGAACUUUGGGUACCCAAACACAAGUCUUGGAGCCCUUGUGUUUGCCCCCAACAAACUUGGCAACUACUUUGCCGGAUUUGUUAGUAAGCACAUAAGAAGCAUCAAAAGUUUUAAAUGAAAUGGCAUGAUCAUUUGAUGCAUUAGGAGUUUUCUUUCUAGGCAACUUGGCACGGGUUGGUUGCCUAGAGCUAGAUGUCUCACCCUUAUACAUAAAGGCAUGAUUAGGGCCAGAGUGAGACUUACUAGAAUGAAUUUUCCUAAUUUUGCUCUCAGGAUAGCCGGCAGGGUACAAAAUGUAGCCCUCGUUAUCCUGAGGCAUGGGAGCCUUGCCCUUAACAAAGUUAGACAAGUUCUUAGGAGGGGCAUUAAUUUUGACAUUGUCUCCCCUUUGGAAGCCAAUGCCAUCCUUAAUGCCAGGGCGUCUCCCAUUAUAAAGCAUGCUACGAGCAAAUUUAAAUUUCUCAUUUUCUAAGUUGUGCUCGGCAAUUUUAGCAUCUAGUUUUGCUAUAUGAUCAUUUUGAUGUUUAAUUAAAGACAUGUGAUCAUGAAUAGCAUUAACAUCAAUAUCUCUACAUCUAUCACAAAUAGACACAUGCUUAAUAGUAGAUGUAGACGGUUUGCAAGAAUUAAGUUCAACAAUCUUAGCAUGAAGAAUAUCAUUUUUAUCUCUAAGAUCGGAAAUUGUAACUUUGCAACCAUCAUAAUCUUUAGCCUUAUCAAUUAAAUUUUUAUUUUUUACUCUAAGGCUAGCAAGAGAUACAUUCAAUUCAUCAAUCUUAGCAAGCAAAUCAACAUUAUCAUCUCUAAGAUUGGGAAUUGAAACAUCACAAACAUGUGAAUCAACCUUAGCAUUUAAACUAGCAUUUUCAUUUCUAAGGUUGUCAAUAAUCUCACGGCAAGUGCUUAGCUCACUAGAUAAUUUUUCACAUUUUUCUACUUCUAGAGCAUAAGCCUUUUUAACCUUAACAUGUUUCUUGUUUUCUUUAAUUAGACAAUCCUCUUGGGAGUCCAAAAGGUCAUCUUUUUCAUGAAUAGCACUAAUCAAUUCAUUUAAUUUUUCUUUUUGCUCCAUGUUAAGAUUUGCAAAGAGAACACGCAAAUUAUCCUCCUCAUCACUAUCAUUAUUAUCACUAGAAGACUCAUAUUUAGUGGAGGAGUUAGAUUUAACCUUCUUCCGUUUGCCGUCCUUUGCCAUGAGGCACUUGUGGCCGACGUUGGGGAAGAGAAGUCCCUUGGUGACGGCGAUGUUGGCGGCGUCCUCGUCGUCGGAGGAGUCGCUUGAGCUUUCGUCGGAAUCCCACUCCCGACAAACAUGGGCAUCGCCGCCCUUCUUCUUGUAGUACUUCUUCUUCUCCUUUCGCCUCCCCUUCUUGUCGUCACCUCGGUCACUGUCACUAGAUAUAGGACAUUUAGCAAUAAAAUGACCGGGCUUACCACACUUGUAGCAAACCUUCUUGGAGCGGAACUUGUAAUCCUUCCCCCUCCUUUGCUUGAGGAUUUGGCGGAAGCUCUUGAUGACGAGCGCCAUUUCCUCAUUGUCGAGCUUGGAGGCGUCUAUUGGUUGUCGACUUGGUGUAGACUCCUCCUUCUUCUCCUCCGUUGCCUUGAAUGCAACGGGUUGAGCUUCGGAUGUGGUGGCAUCAUCAAGCUCGUUGAUCUUCCUCGAGCCUUCGAUCAUGCACUCAAAACUUACAAAAUUCCCGAUAACUUCCUCGGGGGUCAUUUUAGUAUAUCUAGGAUUACCACGAAUUAAUUGAACUUGAGUAGGGUUAAGGAAAAUAAGAGAUCUUAGAAUAACCUUAACCACCUCGUGGUCAUCCCACUUUACGCUCCCGAGGUUGCGCACUUGGUUCACCAAGGUCUUGAGCCGAUUGUACAUGUGUUGUGGCUCCUCCCCUUUGCGAAGCCGGAACCGACCGAGCUUCCCCUCAAUCGUUUCCCGCUUGGUGAUCUUGGUGAGCUCAUCACCUUCAUGUGCGGUCUUGAGUAAAUCCCAAAUCUCCUUUGCGUUCUUCAACCCUUGAACUUUGUUAUACUCCUCUCUACUCAAAGAGGCUAGGAGUAUUGUUGUUGCUUGAGAGUUGAAGUGCUCGAUUUGGGCCACCUCAUCCUCAUCAUAGUCUUUAUCCCCUACGGAUGGUACCUGUGCACCAAACUCAACAACAUCCCAUAUACUUUUGUGGAGUGAGGUUAGAUGAAAUCGCAUUAAAUCACUCCACCUAGCAUAAUCUUCACCAUCAAAAGUUGGUGGUUUGCCUAAUGGGACGGAAAGUAAAGGUGCAUUUUUAGAAAUGCGAGGGUAAUGUAGGGGGAUCUUACUAAACUUCUUACGCUCCUGGCGUUUAGAAGUUACGGAGGGCGCAUCGGAGCCGGAGGUCGAUGUUGAUGAAGUGUCGGUCUCGUAGUAGACCACUUUCCUCAUCCUUUUGUGCUUGUCCCCUCUCCGAUGUGGCUUGUGGGAGGAAGAUCUCUCCUUCUUCUCCUUGUGGUGUGAAGAAGAUUUCUUCUCCUUCCCUUUGUUGGAGGAGCUCUUUUUCUUCUCCUUUCUCUUGGUGCGGGACUCUUCCGAUGAAGUGCUCCCGUGGCUUGUAGUGGGCUUUUCGCCGGUCUCCAUCUCCUUCUUGGCGUGAUCUCCCGACAUCACUUCGAGCGGUUAGGCUCUAAUGAAGCACCGGCCUCUGAUACCAAUUGAAAGUCGCCUAGAGGGGGGGUGAAUAGGGCGAAACUGAAAUUUACAAAUAUAAACACAACUACAAGCCGGGUUAGCGUUAGAAGUAUAAACGAGUCCGCGAGAGAGGGAGAAAAACAAAUCACAAGCAAAUGAAGAGUGUGACACGCGGAUUUGUUUUACCGAGGUUCGGUUUUUGCAAACCUACUCCCCGUUUGAGGAGGCCACAAAGGCCGGGUCUCUUUCAACCCUUCCCUCUCUCAAUCGGUCCCUCGGACCGAGUGAGCUUCUCUUCUCAAAUCACUUGGGAAUCAAACUUCCCGCAAGGGCCACCACACAAUUGGUGCCUCUUGCCUCAAUUACAAGUGAGUGUUUGAUCACAAGAAAGAAUCAAGAAAGAAGGAAGCAAUCCAAGCGCAAGAGCUCGAAAGAACACAAGCAAAUCUCUCUCUCUAGUCACUAGGGCGUUGUGUGGAAUAUGGAGAGGAUUUGAUCUCUUUGGUGUAUCUAGAAUUGAAUGCUAGAGCUCUUGUAGUAGUUGGGAAGUAGAGAACUUGGAUGCAAUGAAUGGUGGGGUGGUUGGGGUAUUUAUAGCCCCAACCACCAAAUGUGGCCGUUGGGAGGCUGUCUGUUUGAUGGCGCACUGGACAGUCCGGUGCACACCGGACAGUCCGGUGCCUCCUGCCACGUCAUCACUGCCGUUGGAUUCUGACCGUUGGGGCUUCUGACUUGUGGGCCCGCCUGGGUGUCCGGUGCACACCGGACAUGUACUGUUUGAUGUCCGGUGUGCCAGCAUGGGCGAUUCUGACUCCUGCGCGCGCUGUGCGCGCAUUAAAUGCCGUUGCAGGUAGCCGUUGGCACGAAGUAGCCGUUGCUCCGAGGUUGCACCGGACAGUCCGGUGCACACCGGACAGUCCGGUGAAUUAUAGCGAAGCAGCGAAGGAGAAAACCCGAGGCUGGCGAGUUCCGGAGGCCGACCUUCCUUGGAGCACCGGACAUGUCCGGUGUACACCGGACAGUCCGGUGAAUUAUAGCCGAGUCGCCUCUAGAAAUUCCCGAAGGUGGCGAGUUGGAGUCUGAGUCCCCCUGGUGCACCGGACAUGUCCGGUGGCACACCGGACAGUCCGGUGCGCCAGACCAGGGGUGCCUUCGGUUGUCCCUUUGCUCCUUUGUUGAAUCCAAAACUUGGUCUUUUUAUUGGCUGAGUGUGAACCUUUUACACCUGUAUAAUCUAUACACUUGGGCAAACUAGUUAGUCCAAAGAUUUGUGUUGGGCAAUUCAACCACCAAAAUAAUUUAGGAACUAGGUGUAAGCCUAAUUCCCUUUCAAUAGGCCUUGAUAAUAUCAUCAGAACAAAUCAUUGCCGCUAAUUCCCUUUCAAUAUAAACGACCAGAUAAUCCCGUAUAUAGGCAUCUCCCAUUUUCUUCGAAGACGUGUCUUCACAAAUUUCAUAGCUGAAAAAGCUCUCUCUGUGGUCGCAGUUGACACAGGGAGAGUUAAGAGUAAUCUCAAUAAUUUAUCUACCAUCGGAUAAGAAGAAUCUGUACCC
rnacentral:lncRNA from 1 species